GUGUCGCGGCGCACGUAGGUCCCCCGACCUGACAGGUGCGCGGCCCGGGCCGGCUGGGCUCUCAGAGCCGAGAGGUGGGGCCCCGACCUGGCCGUGGGGCUGGGCCCGCUCCGUCGCCCCGACCCCGCGUGGUCCGCCAACUCCCUCCUGCGCGCGGAGAGGACGGGCAUUGUUCUCGGGGCCCCGGAGAGCGCGAGAGCGGCCUGAGGUCUGUGUGCCGGAGCUCGGGAAGGCGGACGCGACUCCGCUUGCGCGAAACGAGCGAACGACACAUUAUUAUCUUGGUGUGUGCGGGUUUUUUGAAAGCCGUGGUGGCGCUCCCAGCUCGCCAGUGCGUGCGGGGCAGUUUCUGGGAAGAUACCCUAGAGCUACUCUGGCGGGGCCGGAGUCUGGAGGGAGGAGAUCCCCUCUCCUUGAGCCCCCUCCUGUGGAGCGGCUUCCUGCCGGCCUGCGUGGCCUCUCAGUUAAGACUCCCCCGCUAGACAAAAGCCCCGCCGGCUGCGUCUCUGGGCCACUGGACAGCCCCCUUUUGCAGAGGCCUCGAGCGUGGGGUCACCAAAAUCCCUGACACCUACUGUCCCGCGCCGGGUCGGACAGGAUUACGAGGCCCCACUUUCCAGAUGAGAAAACUGAGGUGGGGAUCUUUUGAGACCUCACUGUGAGCGUGCGCGUCCCGCCCGGUCUGGGAGUGGCGUCCCCGGCCUCGCGAGCGUCGCGCAGUGAAGCGACAGGGCGUGGCGCCUAAUUGUCCCCACGCCACGCGAGGGCUAGAAACCCGCAGUCGGGGCGGACCAUCCCUCCAGGCACCGCCCCCUCCUUGGGACCGCUCCGCGGGGGCGCCAAGGGUUUCCCCAGCACCGCCCCGGCGGCCGCCAGCCAGCCGCGGCCCCGCCCAUGCCCCUCCCCGCGGGUCUGGGCCCGCCCCUGAAGCGGGGAGGUGUCGCAGGGGAGCCCCCCGCUUCCGAGCUGCGGCUGCGCAUCAAGUCCUUCGCCAGCGGCUCUCCCUGAAACGGGGGGUUUCAAGGCGUGAUUUGUAGGGGUGUUUAGUAUCCCCUAAAUCUCUGCCAGCUCCACCAUGGCUAUCCGAAGUAAACAACAGAAGCUAAUUCAAAACUGGGUCCCCUUCCAAAAAAUUACAAAAAUUAGCCGGACUGGGUGGCGCAUGCCUGUAGUUCCAGCUCCUUGCAGGGGACUGAGGCAGGAGGAUCGCUUGAUCCCAGGAGGUUGAGAUUGCAGUGAGCUAUGAUCACACCACUGCACUCCAGCCUGGUCGACAGAAGGAGACCCUGUCUCAAAAAAUAAACAAAAAAUCGGCCAAGCGCGGUGGUUCACCCCUCUAAUCCCAGUACUUUGGGAGGCUGAGGUGGAUGAUCACCUGAGGUCAGGAAUUCGAGACCAGUCUGGCCAACAUGGCGAAACCCCGUCUCUACUAAAAAUACAAAAAUUAGCUAGACGUGGUGGCACGCGCCUGUAGUCCCAGAUGCUCGGGAGGCUGAGGUGGGAGAAUCACUUAAACCCGGGAGGCAGAGAUUGCAGUGAGCCGAGAUCGCGCCACUUCACUGCAGCCUGCGCAAGAGAGCAAAACUCCGUCUCAAAAAAGAAAGUUAGGAGCCGCUUCAGUGUACAGUGGGUGACCCAGAUUGGCUGCUGAGGUCCUGCCCCCUAAGGUCCUAUCUCAAAAGCUGAAGAUUUUGAAAAAUCCCAGGCCAUCUGAGAUGCCAUUCCUGCCUGGUACCCAUGGCCUCGACCACACUAGCCAGGUUCCAUCUCGGGGUUUCAUCAGCUCAGAUGAGGUGGAGUAGGAGGCCUCUCUGGUGUCUCCUCCUCCCACCACUUAGUGUUGCCUGAGUUUCCAUGGCUCCAGGAUACUAGCCCUGAGGGAUGGAUGUUCUCAGAGAAGCUUCUGUCCCCGGGAUGGAUGUUCUCAGAGAAGCUUCUGUCCCCAGCCCUGCCCUGAGCUAUAGGCUCUGAUGGGGUAAGUUAGUCACCUUCCCACAAAACUGCCCACCACUGAGAAUCCAGGAGUCCCUACCUCCCAGCCACGAAGCAACUCUCUUUUUCUGAGGUGGAACAGAAGCCAUCUCCCAGCUGUCUCCCUCUCCACACUUUGCAGCCUGGAGGCCAUCCUGCCUGAGAUUCUACCCUUAGAGCUUCAUUCUUUUGUGACUUUCACACCUUUCAGAAACUUGGAGAAAGAUCUGCCCCCAGGUGAGGUUUGGGUAACUCCUCCACUCCCAUCCCCACCUCAGAGGAGGCUUGCUCCACCUCCACUGCCCCUCAGGCCCAAGCUCCUGUCUGGGUCCUCAGCCUCUGUGGAGUUGAGGUCUGUAGCAUAUCUCAAGGGCACUGGGGAGGUGCCGCUGCCCUGCAUCCUCCCAAACCCCACAGCUCCUCUCACCCCUUUUGGUCUCCCUUUUGCCCCCCACCUCCACUUCCACCAAGCUUAGGGCUCAGUUCACUGCCCGCCAGGCCCAGCUGCUCUGAUGCCCUCCUUGUUCUAUUGUCCUUACUGUCUCCUCUGUCUGCCUCAUCUGACUUUGCCUUCUCUGGAGGCAGUUAAUUCACCUCUGAGCCUUGGCCCCAGGGUCACCUCCCUGGAAAGCCUUCCUGGGGCUGCCCUGGCCUGCCCCCCUGCUCAGGACAAUCUGGCCUGCAUGUGCACUCCAUUCUGUGGACCAUGAGCCCCUCCCGGACCAAGCUGGGCACAGCUCAGCUUCUCACUAAGGGCAGGGGGCUGCCAUGGAAAGCCUGUCACUUCUAACUGGCAAGACAGAGCACCCAGGUAGAGUGGCAUUGUGGGAGCUGUACCCAGUAUGGGAGGUGGGGGCAGCGGCCAGUCCUCAUGGUCUGUCUUAGAGAAGCCUUGUGUGGCAGUGACAUUUUGGAGGGGAGACAAUUUUGGAGGGGGCUGCAGGAGCCUGGGCCUGGAGUAAGGGGAGAGGAGAGUCAAGCUGUCCAGUGGGGAGAAGGCCUGGUGGGCGAUGGUGCCAUCCUGAGUGGAGAAGGCCUGGGAAUGUGAGGAGUGGGGAGGUCAGGGUGGGGGUGGUAGAGGUGCUAGGUGUAACCACUGCUUAGGUGAAGACAACUCCUGUGCCCUUUCAGAGCCAGGGCAGGGUGCCUCGUGCCCAGGGUUGGGAGUUGGGAGGCAGUGGACUUGGGCCCAGACCCUAGAGGUGAGGAGGGUGAUGGUGAGGGGUGUAGGGAUGGCAACACUGGCAGAAUAGCCCCUGUCUACCCUCUGACCUUCCUCACCAAGCUGGUGGGUGAGAGGUCCGUCAGGGCCUCCAUAUUACAGCUGAAGCUAUGGAAGCCAGAGAGGUACCUGAGCAGUGACUUGACUUAAGGGCUCUGACCCCCACAUCAUAGCUAAACUGUGGUGGCCCCCAAAUGCUCCCCUGCCAUUUCCAGACUUCCACACUGGAAGGGGGAACGUGGCUCUGGUGCAGACAGUGUUGGGUGGGGAUUGCAGCUCCUCACGGGACUCCCUGCCGGACUUGGGCACCAAUUUCCCCUCAGGAGUGCCUGCUGCGCCUCCCCAGACCAGCUGCUGUGAGGAUAAUGGGGUUUGUGUUCAGCAAGUGGCCACCCCUGGCAGCACCCACAGCUCAUGGAAACCACUGGGAACUGAGAACUGUUUAGUGGAGUUGAGGCUGGUGUUUAGUGAAGUUCCAAUCACCAGGAGACUUUCGGGCCAGAGGAUCAGGGUUGAAGGGUUUUAGUGCGUGCUCAGCCAAAGGGCCUCAAUUCUGAGUCUGAGAAGAGGCCUCAGAGCCUGGUGCUUUGGGAAGCCAAGACUACCCCAGCUCCAGGAUCUGUCCUGUUCUCAGGUCCCACUGAGGCAGAGCCCAUGGACUUGAUGCCCAGCCCUGCCCGCUGUCUCUGGAACUCCUAUUUCCUCGGGGCAUUGGACCGUGUCUGCCCACCAAGCCCCACUGAAGGGUGCAGGUGAGCAUAGGAAAGUUGGGCAUGGCAGCCCCCUGGGGCCUGGGCUGAAGUCUGGCUCCUCUUUCCCUGGCAUGUGCUCCAACAGGGCCCCCGAGCGGGACUGGAGGCGGGCAGAGAAGGACCUGUGGGAGCAGCUGGCAGAAAGCAGGCAGCAGAGGGCCGAGCUGGCAAGCCGUCUUCGGGCAGUGCCGGAGGCCCUGUCGGAGCAAGCCCUGGUGCUGCAGAGGCGGGAGCACAAGCUGGGACUUGGCUGGUCCCUAAAGCAGAAACAGGUGGAGUGCUCCCUGGCCUGCCUGGAGCAGGAGAGGCACCAGAUGCAGGGAUCCCAGGGACAGGCUGAGUGGAGGAGGCCAGACCAGAACAUAGAAGACAAGUGAGUGGGGCUGGGCUGUGGGGGAGGGGUGGGGUGGCAGGGAACAGGCAGACCAUCCCUUCUACCCACAGGAUCCUGCUGCUGCAGACAGAAGUGGAAAAGGCCUAGCGGCAUUUGGACCAAAUGACCCAACAGCCUGUUGGCCCAGAGCCCAGCCUGGGGAUCCCCCAAGUGGGUGCAUGGCAGGCCCUGCGCACUGGCCCUGCUGUACCUUUGACUCUGCCCCACACUUUAUUCUCUGGUCCUCAUUAUUGAAGCAUUAUCUAGAGAAGGAAGGCAGCGCAGGGGCUUAGUCCAGCCAAGAGAGGGAUCCUCUUCCAACAUUUGGGAAUACCCUGGGAUCAUUCAGUGACUUCCCUCCUGGUUCAGAUGGGAAAACUGAGACCAGAGAGCAGAGGAGAGCUUGUUCAGAGUCAUAACUUGAGUUGGGGCCAGGACCCUGCCACAACAUGCCCUGAGGCAUCAACGGUCUGCCAAGACCACCCCAGUGUGGUCUGGAAGCUGGAAGGAGACCCCAGGAUUCUGGACCAAGUGUAUCUACAGGAGAUGCUGGUGCCAGGCCUGCAGAUCCAAGAGCAGAGCUGGGAUGGAGGCAGGGCCCAGGAGCUUCGGGACCCAGAGUCUCCAUGCCAGCAGCUGAGACCCCUGCCCAGGCUCAGGACACAGUCCGUCUGCAGGAGCAGUUGCUGAUACUCACUGAGGUGAACAAGAGACUCAGAAGAGCUGGGCCAGAGCCACCAGCAACUAGGGGCCUGCUUGGAGCAGCUGCAGCAUCUGCAGGGAGAGCAGAUGGUGUUGGGGGGCCAUUGCAGGCCCUGGAGGCAGAGCACACCUGGCUACUUCAGGAGAAGGUGGGGCUGCUAGCAGCACUGGGUGUGGCCCCGGGCCAAGAGUCCUGGUAGGUGGCUGCUUGGGCCCAUCCUCAGAGUGUCCAAGCCAGGCUGGGGUGGGGGCUCUGUUCUCACUGUAGGUGAGAUGGCCCUCUCAGCAGGCGGUGGGCCAGUCUCUGUCACCAGCUGGCUGAGGGGGAAUGGCCCAGAGCCCUAAACCCGGAAUCACACGACCAGAGCCAGUCUCCCUUCCCCAGGUAUCAGCGCUCCUGGUUGUCACAUUCUGGCUCUUUUAUGGGGUGGGAAAUCUUUCAGCUUCAAGAAGUCCUGUCUCG
rnacentral:lncRNA from 1 species